rnacentral:rRNA from 1 species
ACGCUAAGGUAGCACAAUAAUGCGCCUCUUAAUUAGAGGAUAGAAUGAAAGGGCAAACAAGAUAUUGACUGUCUCUUAUAUAAAAAUGAAAAUUUAUCUUUGGGUGAAAAAGCCCAAAUUUCAAAUAAAGACAAAAAGACCCUAAAAGCUUUUAUAUUAUCACUAACCCUAAACCAUAUUAUAUUUAGUUGGGGCGACUUAAAACCACAAACGUUUAUUUUCUAACAAGAGCUAAUCACUCAUUCCCCUUAUCCAAUAGCAAACAAGUAAGCUACUUUAGGGAUAACAGGCUAAUACUUCUUUAGAGCGCACAUCGACAGAAGUGUUUAGCACCUCGAUGUUGGCUUAGGGCCCCUACCUCACGCAGAAGUGAGAUCAGCAGGUUUGUUCACCCAA